rnacentral:rRNA from 1 species
GACCGCCUGGGGAGUACGGCCGCAAGGUUAAAACUCAAAUGAAUUGACGGGGGCCCGCACAAGCGGUGGAGCAUGUGGUUUAAUUCGAUGCAACGCGAAGAACCUUACCUGGUCUUGACAUCCACAGAACUUUCCAGAGAUGGAUUGGUGCCUUCGGGAACUGUGAGACAGGUGCUGCAUGGCUGUCGUCAGCUCGUGUUGUGAAAUGUUGGGUUAAGUCCCGCAACGAGCGCAACCCUUAUCCUUUGUUGCCAGCGAUUCGGUCGGGAACUCAAAGGAGACUGCCGGUGAUAAACCGGAGGAAGGUGGGGAUGACGUCAAGUCAUCAUGGCCCUUACGAGUAGGGCUACACACGUGCUACAAUGGCGUAUACAGAGGGAAGCGAGAGUGCGAGCUGGAGCGAAUCUCACAAAGUACGUCUAAGUCCGGAUUGGAGUCUGCAACUCGACUCCAUGAAGUCGGAAUCGCUAGUAAUCGUGGAUCAGAAUGCCACGGUGAAUACGUUCCCGGGCCUUGUACACACCGCCCGUCACACCAUGGGAGUGGGUUGCAAAAGAAGUAGGUAGCUUAACCUUCGGGAGGGCGCUUACCACUUUGUGAUUCAUGACUGGGGUGAAGUCGUAACAAGGUAACCGUAGGGGAACCUGCGGUUG